rnacentral:rRNA from 1 species
GAUGAACGCUGGCGGCGUGCCUAAUACAUGCAAGUCGAGCGAACAGAUGAGGAGCUUGCUCCUCUGACGUUAGCGGCGGACGGGUGAGUAACACGUGGAUAACCUACCUAUAAGACUGGGAUAACUUCGGGAAACCGGAGCUAAUACCGGAUAAUAUAUUGAACCGCAUGGUUCAAUAGUGAAAGACGGUUUUGCUGUCACUUAUAGAUGGAUCCGCGCCGCAUUAGCUAGUUGGUAAGGUAACGGCUUACCAAGGCAACGAUGCGUAGCCGACUUGAGAGGGUGAUCGGCCACACUGGAACUGAGACACGGUCCAGACUCCUACGGGAGGCAGCAGUAGGGAAUCUUCCGCAAUGGGCGAAAGCUUGACGGAGCAACGCCGCGUGAGUGAUGAAGGUCUUCGGAUCGUAAAACUCUGUUAUUAGGGAAGAACAAAUGUGUAAGUAACUAUGCACGUCUUGACGGUACCUAAUCAGAAAGCCACGGCUAACUACGUG